rnacentral:rRNA from 1 species
UGAAAAUGUAAAUUUAUUAUUAAAUUAGUAUUAGUUAUGUUCUUGAAAAUUAAAAAAUUUGGCGGUAUUUUAGUCUAUUCAGAGGAACCUGUUCUAUAAGUGAUAAUCCACGUUAAAGUUAGCUUGUUUUUUAAAUUUGUAUAUCAUCGUAGUUGAAAAUCUUAGGAGAGAUAAUUUUCAUAAUUUUUAUAAUAAAAUAAAUCAGAUCAAGGUGCAGUUUAUAGAUAAGGAGAAAUGGGUUACAUUAUAUUUAUAUUUGAAUAUAAAAUUGUAAGUUUUAUUGAAUUUGGAUUUGAUAGUAAAUUUAAAUAUUAUUUUUUUUGAUUUUAGCUCUAAAAUAUGU